rnacentral:rRNA from 1 species
UACGUAGGGUGCGAGCGUUGUCCGGAAUUACUGGGCGUAAAGAGCUCGUAGGUGGUUUGUCGCGUUGUUCGUGAAAACCGGGGGCUUAACCCUCGGCGUGCGGGCGAUACGGGCAGACUGGAGUACUGCAGGGGAGACUGGAAUUCCUGGUGUAGCGGUGGAAUGCGCAGAUAUCAGGAAGAACACCCGUGGCGAAGGCGGCUCUCUGGAACGCAACUGACGCUGAGACGCGAAAGCGUGGGGAGCAAACAGG